rnacentral:lncRNA from 1 species
AUCUUGUUACCCAUGCAAUGUUGGGGUCAGAGAGUGUAGAGAGUGGUGUGGGGAGAGUGCAGGCUGAAGAGUUACCUAAGGUCAAAAUCCUGACCUAUGAGCCAAGCCAUCGAUUUGGGAUUUCUACUGAGGACACUGGAAGUCACUAAGAGCAUCUGAAUGCCUGGACCCACGCCUUCAUCAAUCUACUGUCAGGGAUAGAUUGUGCAUUUUCUGUGUCCCAGUGGGUGCCCCCCCCCCAAAAUAGAGCAGACAAAGCCUGGCCUGCGAGGGUACUGGUUUAGUUCAACAAAUAUCCAUAGAAUGCCCACUUAGGCAAAAUGGCAUAGGGCAGAUUGCCAAAAUCAGGGUUGACUCGGCCUGGAGCCAUGAAGUGGGUCCAACAGGUCUCUGAACUGAGGCAGGAGGCCCCAGGAUCCCGAGGUGUGCUGUAAAGCCUUUGAUGACAGCAUCUUGUGCCUAACACCUGACCACAUCUGAGCCACUAGAGACAGUACCUGAUAAGGAUGCAGAUGCCUGGGCCCUACCUUCCAAAGUUCUGGCUCAGUAGGUCUGGGG